CCCCGGAAAAUCCAAAUUAAAUUCCGUGGAUUUUUAGAAAUGAUUUCACGAUAGUGGGAGCGAGUACGAGGCUCGGAGAAGUUGUGGAAUUAGUUCGAACGAUUUUAUUUUCGAAAACGAACGUUUUUAGGGGGUCAACAAAGUUGACUUUUUAUACGUUCAAAAUUUGGGAAAACUUCCUUCAUGAAAGUUGUAGAGCUCGUCGAUACGAGUUCGUGGACAUGUGGAACGCAAUAUUCGGAGUUCGUAUGAUUAAGUUAUGAAUUUUUGAAAAUUGGGAAUUUUCUAUAAAUAGGAAAAUUCUGAUUUUAUUUUUCAUUCAAGGACAAAAAAUUCCUUUUUUUGCGGAAUAGUCCCCCCCCUCUCUCUCUCUCUCGCGCAAAGCCCUCCCCACGCUUGCCGACCCGCCGACCCGACCCGACGCCAGCGGCGCCGUCGCUCGUCCUCCGGCCACGACCCGGCCCUCCCCGAGGUCGCCUCGAGCCGCCCAGCCGCUCCCUGCCACCGCCUUGCCCCGCCGCUGCCCCCAGAUGGAGAUCGAAGCCCCCCCCGAAGCUAGAACCCGACCCGACCGGAAAACCACUUUUCCGGCGUUGCACGGGCCGAUCCUCCCCAUUUUCGUGAUCUCCUCCUCCCCCUGAUUAUCCCCAUGUAAGCCUUUCAUCACGAUUUUGUGUAUAGAACGCUAGAUCAUGGUUUGACUUUUUCGACGUCCCUGAUUUAAUCUGAAUCUGAUCAGACGCACGAGAUUAAUCCAACUUCAACGCUUGAUCUAGGACGAUCUAGGCCAAACCAGACUUAGCUCCAGGUGAUUGACGGUUUGAGUUGGUGGACGAUUGUGGAUCGUAUUUUGAGCUGAAUUGAAGACGCAGCGGGAUUAUCGAGCGGGUAAUCCUACAGGACAGGAGAACCAGGACGGUGAUCGUGCGGUUAGAGCAAUUGUUAGAGUUUUACAACAAUUGUAAGUUGUGAGGUGUGUUAUGCUCAUUUGAGCUUUAUAAUAUAUUGUGAGAGUGAAUUGUAAUAAUGAACUCGAAGUUUCGAGAUUUGGUUUUUUGUAAUUGUAAUUAUUCAGGUUUCGGAUUUGAAUUUA